GAUGAAGAACGUAGCGAAAUGCGAUACGUAAUGUGAAUUGCAAAUUCAGUGAAUCAUCGAGUCUUUGAACGCACAUUGCGCCCCCUGGUAUUCCGGGGGGCAUGCCUGUCCGAGCGUCAUUGCUGCCCUCAAGCACGGCUUGUGUGUUGGGCCCCGUCCUCCGAUCCCGGGGGACGGGCCCGAAAGGCAGCGGCGGCACCGCGUCCGGUCCUCGAGCGUAUGGGGCUUUGUCACCCGCUCUGUAGGCCCGGCCGGCGCUUGCCGAUCAACCCAAAUUUUUAUCCAGGUUGACCUCGGAUCAGGUAGGGAUACCCGCUGAACUUAAGCAUAUCAAUAGCGAGGA
rnacentral:misc_RNA from 1 species